rnacentral:tRNA from 1 species
UCCGGCAUAGCUCAAUGGUAGAGCGCCCGACUGUUAAUCGGUAGGUUCCAGGUUCGAGUCCUGGUGCCGGAGCCA